UAGACGACCAUAGGUGAGGAGGAGGAGUAGACGACCAUAGGUGAGGAGGAGGAGUAGACGAUCAUAGGUGAGGAGGAGGAGGAGUAGACAAUCAUAGAUGAGGAGGAGUAGACAAUCAUAGGUGAGGAGGAGUAGACAAUCAUAGGUGAGGAGGAGGAGGAGUAGACAAUCAUAGGUGAGGAGGAGUAGACAAUCAUAGGUGAGGAGGAGUAGACAAUCAUAGGUGAGGAGGAGUAGACAAUCAUAGGUGAGGAGGAGUAGACAAUCAUAGGUGAGGAGGAGGAGGAGUAGACAAUCAUAGGUGAGGAGGAGUAGACGAUCAUAGGUGAGGAGGAGUAGACGAUCAUAGGUGAGGAGGAGUAGACGAUCAUAGGUGAGGAGGAGGAGUAGACGAUCAUAGGUGAGGAGGAGGAGUAGACGACCAUAGGUGAGGAGGAGGAGUAGACGAUCAUAGGUGAGGAGGAGGAGUAGACGAUCAUAGGUGAGGAGGAGGAGGAGUAGACAAUCAUAGGUGAGGAGGAGGAGUAGGCGAUCAUAGGUGAGGAGGAGGAGUAGGCGACCAUAGGUGAGGAGGAGGAGUAGGCGACCAUAGGUGAGGAGGAGGAGUAGACGAUCAUAGGUGAGGAGGAGGAGUAGACGACCAUAGGUGAGGAGGAGGAGUAGACGACCAUAGGUGAGGAGGAGGAGUAGACGACCAUAGGUGAGGAGGAGGAGUAGACGACCAUAGGUGAGGAGGAGGAGUAGACGACCAUAGGUGAGGAGGAGGAGUAGACGACCAUAGGUGAGGAGGAGGAGUAGACGACCAUAGGUGAGGAGGAGGAGUAGACGACCAUAGGUGAGGAGGAG